GGUGAUGCGGAUUUUCAUUUCAGGACUUCGCAUAGCCCCCGAAGGCGUCGAGAGGACGGGUGACAUGUUCGGAAAGGGCAUCUACUUCGCCGACGUCGUCACAAAGUCCGCGCAAUACGCGUACACGACGCCCGACCACCCCGCCGCUGUGCUGCUCUUGUGCCGGGUGGCCCUCGGGAACAUGAAACGUUGUACCAGGAGGGAGCCGGUCACCGAGCUACCGCAAGGUACGAACUCAGUCUGGGGCGUGGGCCGCUUUCGGCCGGAUCCCGCCGCAGCGGAGAUUUUACCCGACGGCACGGAAGUCCCGCUGGGUGCCUUAGUACCUAACACGAGAGACGAUCCCGACGAACCUGUACUGAAUCACAACGAAUAUAUCGUUUACAACGAAGCGCAAGUAAAUAUAAAGUACUUGGUGCAUUACAAACAGUAUGAACUGUGAUAUUUUGGUGCUAUAUUUUCUUUUAAUGUAAUUUUAUGUUUCUAAAUUGACUGAUAGUAAUUACGUAAAUCGGAUUUUAAACCAA